UUAUAUCAUUCAAAAGUAUGAAAGAAACGGUAGGGUUUUGAACGGCUACAAAUUACUGGCUAAAUACGCAUAACAAUGCACAGCUUGUGCUUAAAACCUACCUACAUGAUGUUUGUUACAUCUUAUACUUUUUCUUUGACUAGAUUUUCUCAAUUCUUUGUCCAGGUUGCCUGCAGUCUAUAUAUGGUAUCCAUACUUUUCGAGUUGAAAGUAUUGCACAUGGAAAAGCUGCACCUGUAGAUGAACUACAAGUUCAGGGAGUUUCUGAUCCUUUUGUUUUGAGGAGGGUGAAACAAAAUAUGUUUCUUAAUAUGAUUCAUUAUAGUUUUUGGAGACAGAUUUGAAUGUUGAAUUUCAUUCCUUACAUUUUAUAUUGUAGGGGUUCCUUUAAUGUUAUACCCUUUAAUGUUAUACUGCUAAGUACUAACAAAGGGUAUGUCAUCAUCUUAAAAGCUACAAUUGGUUUGCAAAUGAUUGUAACAGAGGCUUCAAAGAUCACACAAGAUGUGAGUACAAGUGGGAAGCAUGCUGGUCCAAGCACAGAUGAGGAAAACAUCGCUCGUAUGCUAGGAGCAACUGAGGGAUCAGUUGUUUUGAGAUCACCGUCAAAAAGUUUGAAGGAAUGAUGGCCUCUGGGAAGACAACUGUGGGACGGAUAUUGUCAGAGGCGCUUUCUUAUUCGUUUUAUGAUAGAAUGGAUCAUCAAGGGCAUAGCCAGAACCCAUCUAUGGUAGUGGAGCUCAAUUAGCAUAUGGUUCUAACACCAGCUUGAGCAACAGCUCCAACAAUUUUGAUCAAACCAGUACCAAAAAAUUGAGAAGGUUACUGAUUUCAAGAACCACAGUCUUCCCCUGGCAACUAAUAUAUUAUGUUUAUUGUUAAUAAAUUUAACAAUUACCUGUUAAAUCUAAUUAUAUGUAUUGUUAAUUGUUAAUAUGAUUAAGUUACAAUAUUUUAACAACUGUUAAAUGGCUAUUUGUAUUCAUA